rnacentral:lncRNA from 1 species
GCACAUGGUCCUGUUCGUACUCCAGGAUGGCGGCGUAAAGGGCCCGCUGCUCCCGUUCCUCCGGGGUCAGGGCGACUUGGCUGCAAAACCUCCUGGGGAGAAAGGCACGCGGUGGGUGCCGGGGCCAGGCCCUCCCCGCAGCGGCCCCAGGGGCGGGCAGGAGUCCCACCUGUUGGCGGCCUCCUGGAGCCGCAGCCGGCGCUCCUCCAUCUUUCUCUGGAGCUGGGUGCAGAGUCAAGGGGCCGAGCGUGGGAUCUGAGCGGGCCCUCGGUUCCCAACCCCGUCCCACACCCGGAGAGGCCGGGACGUCCCAGGGACCUCCUCUCGGUGAGGGGCUGUCCCCAGGUAAGGCUUCUGGGGCAGAAGGCAGCCUGCGCUCAAGCCAGGAGGGCCGGGCCAGAGAACAUGGGGGACGGCGGCCGGGCCUUCCCCUGAGACCCUGCCUCUGCAAAGCGGGGAGCCCCUCGGCCCUGUACCCCGACCCCGGAACCUCCGCUCCCCUCGCUGCCCCCUUCUCUGCCCUUGGCUCAAGGCCACACUGAGUUUCCCCUCGGGGACCACCAGGGCGGUCAGAAAGGCUGCUGUCUCCUCCCGGGCUUUGGCAAUCACUAGGUUCUCCAUCAUCUGCCGCUGUAGAGAGAGGGUCUGGGGGGGGAGGAGGGAGUAAGGCCGACUCCCCUCUGCCCCGCGCCCACGCACCCCCAGGCCCUCCCUAGCCCCCACUCACCAGGGAUGUCUUCUGCAUGGCCUGGCUGGGGUCUAGCCGCGCCAUUCGGGCCUCAUACGCAGCCUUCAGCUUCUGAUUCUGCAGGGAGGCCUCCUCCAGUGGCGUCAGCUCUCUGGAAAUGUGACAAGCUGCUGUCUAGACCCCAGGAAGCCCAGUGGUGUCUGGACACCAGAGGAGUCUCUCUCAUCCUCCCGGAUUGCUCUGAGGCCAGGAGGUGAGGAGAAAGAGGAGGGGAGCCAUCUGGGGUGGGCUGCAACAUCUGCCCCUUCUUGCCUGCCCUUCCAAAACACAGGUUUUGGCCAGGUGCAGUGGCUCCCGCCUCUAAUGCCAGCACUUUAGGAGGCUAAGGCCGGGCGGAUCACCUGAGGUCAGGAGUUCGAGACCAGCCUGGCCAACAUGGUGAAACUCUGUCUCUACUAAAAAUACAAAAAUUAGCUGGGCAUGGUGCACACUUGUAAUCCCAGCUACU